rnacentral:rRNA from 1 species
UACGUAGGGAGCAAGCGUUGUCCGGAAUCAUUGGGCGUAAAGCGCGCGUAGGUGGCUUCGUAAGUCCGUUGUGAAAGUCAAAGGCUCAACCUUUGAAAGCCGAUGGAUACUGCGGAGCUAGAGUACGGAAGAGGCGAGUGGAAUUCCUGGUGUAGCGGUGGAAUGCGCAGAUAUCAGGAGGAACACCAAUGGCGAAGGCAGCUCUCUGGUACAUGAUUGACGCUGAGACGCGAAAGCGUGGGGAGCGAACAGG